GACGAACGCUGGCGGCGUGCUUAACACAUGCAAGUCGAACGAUGAAGCCCAGCUUGCUGGGUGGAUUAGUGGCGAACGGGUGAGUAACACGUGAGUAACCUGCCCUUGACUCUGGGAUAAGCGCUGGAAACGGCGUCUAAUACCGGAUACGACCUGCCCCGGCAUCGGGUGCGGGUGGAAAGUUUUUCGGUCAAGGAUGGACUCGCGGCCUAUCAGCUAGUUGGUGAGGUAAUGGCUCACCAAGGCGACGACGGGUAGCCGGCCUGAGAGGGUGACCAGCCACACUGGGACUGAGACACGGCCCAGACUCCUACGGGAGGCAGCAGUGGGGAAUAUUGCACAAUGGGCGAAAGCCUGAUGCAGCAACGCCGCGUGGGGGAUGACGGCCUUCGGGUUGUAAACCUCUUUUAGUAGGGAAGAAGGGCUUCGGCUUGACGGUACCUGCAGAAAAAGCACCGGCUAACUACGUGCCAGCCGCCGCGGUAA
rnacentral:rRNA from 1 species